rnacentral:rRNA from 1 species
CGGGAUUACCCGCUGAACUUAAGCAUAUCAAUAAGCGGAGGAAAAGAAAAUAACAAUGAUUUCCCUAGUAACGGCGAGUGAAGAGGAAAGAGCUCAAAGUUGGAACCUGUUUGGCUUAGCUAAACCGGAUUGUAAACUGUAGAAGUGUUUUCCUGACACGCCUGGUAAAAAAGUCCUUUGGAACAGGGCAUCAUAGAGGGUGAGAAUCCCGUCUUUGGCCAGAGCUGUUGUCUUUUGUGAUACAUUUUCAAAGAGUCAGGUUGUUUGGGAAUGCAGCCUAAAUUGGG